rnacentral:miRNA from 1 species
GUGGGAGGAUUGUUUGGGCUCAAGAGUUCCAGGCUGCAGUAAACUAUGAUCAUGCCACUGCACUCCAGCCUGAGUGACAGAGCAA